rnacentral:rRNA from 1 species
AUUGAACGCUGGCGGCAGGCCUAACACAUGCAAGUCGAACGCGUGGCGGACGGGUGAGUAAUGUCUGGGAAACUGCCAGGUGGAGGGGGAUAAAUACUGGAAACGGUAGCUUAUACCGCAUACUAUCAGAUGUGCCCAGAUGGGAUUCGCGUGUUGGUGGGAGAACGGUUCACCAAGUCGACGAUCCCUCGCUGGUCUGUGAGGAUGACCAGCCACACUGGUACUGAGACACGGUCCAGACUCCUACGGGAGGCAGCAGUGGGGAAUAUUGCACAAUGGGCGCAAGCCUGAUGCAGCCAUGCGGCGUGUAUGAAGAAGGCCUUCGGGUUGUAAAGUACUUUCAGCGGGGAGGCGUUAACGGCAGAAGAAGCACCGGCUAACUCCGUGCCAGCCGCCGCGGUAAUAC